rnacentral:rRNA from 1 species
CUUGAACGCUGGCGGCAUGCCUUACACAUGCAAGUCGAACGGCAGCACGGGAGCAAUCCUGGUGGCGAGUGGCGAACGGGUGAGUAAAGUAUCGGAACGUGCCCAGUCGUGGGGGAUAACGUAGCGAAAGUUACGCUAAUCCCGCAUACUAUCUCUGGAUGAAAGCGGGGGAUCGCAAGACCUCGCGCGAUUGGCGCGGACGCUAGAAGAUUAGGGAGUGGCUGGGGUAAAGGCUGACCAAGCCGACGAUCUGUAGCUGGUCUGAGAGGACGACCAGCCACACGGGGACUGAGACACGGCCCAGACUCCUACGGGAGGCAGCAGUGGGGAAUUUUGGACAAUGAGCGCAAGCCUGAUCCAGCCAUGCCGCGUGCAGGAUGAAGGCCUUCGGGUUGUAAACUGCUUUUGUACGGAACGAAAAGGUUUGGCUUAAUACGUUGAACUCAUGACGGUACCGUAAGAAUAAGCACCGGCUAACUACGUGCCAGCCGCCGCCGUAA